rnacentral:rRNA from 1 species
UGAGGAAUAUUGGUCAAUGGCCGAGAGGCUGAACCAGCCAAGUCGCGUGAGGGAUGACGGCCCUACGGGUUGUAAACCUCUUUUGUCGGGGAGCAAAGAGAGUCACGUGUGGCUCAUUGAGAGUACCCGAAGAAAAAGCAUCGGCUAACUCCGUGCCAGCAGCCGCGGUAAUACGGAGGAUGCGAGCGUUAUCCGGAUUUAUUGGGUUUAAAGGGUGCGCAGGCGGAGGUGCAAGUCAGUGGUCAAAUUGCGGGGCUCAACCCCGUACUGCCGUUGAAACUGCAUCCCUUGAGUGCGCGAGAA